ACACACACACACACACACACACACACACACACACACACACACACACACACACACACACACACACACACACACACACACACACACACACACACACACACACCACAUACAACACACUCCACAUACACACACACACACACACACACACACCAUACACACCACACACAAUACACACCACACACCACACACCAUACACUCUUCACCACAUAUACACACACGACUGCCACUGUUGGAAACUGGGCCAGCACUGCCCCAAGAGGAACCAGAGACCCUGUACAGGCAAACACACACACUCACACAUACACAUCUACAUCUCACACAGACUGCUACACAUCACACUGAUGCACUUGCACAGGUAAACACAUACUGAUACAAAAACAUGGACAUACUACACAGAUAUAUAUGAUUAAAUGUUUUGGACCUGAUGAAUGACACAUCACAUAUCGCAAGGCCCACAAUAUAGGUUCAAUGACACAUCACAUAUCACAAGGCCCACAAUAUAGGUUCAAUGAUACAUCACAUAUCACAAGGCCCACAAUAUAGGUUCAAUGAUACAUCACAUAUCACAAGGCCCACAAUAUAGGUUCAAUGAUACAUCACAUAUCACAAGGCCCACAAUAUAGGUUCAAUGAUAUAUCACAUGUCGCAAGGCCCACAAUAUUUUCUAUGUAUAUAAACGAUGUAUGGAUGUGUUGUGGACAUGUAACAGUAUACGUUUCCUGCAUAACUGUAUUAAUUCUGCUUUUGUAAAACGGUGCACCUCUGCUACUGUAGAUUGUAGGUCAUGUUGAGCCAAUGCUAACCCAUAAAAACAUCAGUAACUUUGACAAACAUCCGCUCUAUAUUUUCUCUAUUGAAUAAAUAACUUUGUUAGCCUCGCUCAUCUACUUUUUAUUGAUAUUCUCACCAGUUAUCCCUGCUGGCAAAACAUAUUACUGUAUGCUCAAUAACCGGUUCUGCUCAUGUGGUUACAUACAUUUAGAAAUUAUUAGCAAACUCCCCAGUGGAUUAAAGUGGAUAAAAGGUAGUGAGAGCUUGGGGCAGCAGCGUAGACAGGGAUAACUGUGUGGCUGUGCAUAAGUAAAAGUGGCUGGGCUAACAUUUCCCGGCAAAAAUACCUGACAUAUUUAAGUGAAAAUUUGUGCAUCACAUUGGAUUAUUUAAAACAUAAUACAGGAUAAAUGUAACCAAAAAAUACCACAGUGCGAACUACGCAACCGCUUACUUCAACACUGCUGACAAAGCAGGCUGACUGUCUGAGUCCGACAGUAAGGAAACAUAAUGAAAUACACAACAUGUCUAUAACCUACAUACUCAGAGAGAGAGAAACAAACAAAGAAACAAACAAAAAAAGAUGAAAGAUUUUACAGCAGCAGACAAGUGAUAAAAUUGGAAAAAUGUUACUGUCACAAAAUACAGAUAAUGGAUGAAGUGUUCAGUCCGACAGUCCGACCUCAUGAAAUAAUCAACAUAUAUUAUUCGACCAGAUCGGCCAUUCCCAGUUAAAGAAGCUACAGUACAGAACCACAGGUAGAUUUAGGACCAUUGGAGGACCGCUGGACAUCAGCUCGCCACUGGAUUGGAAUAUGCACAAACAGCUUAUUGCACAAAGAAGCAAGGAAAAAUAGAAUUAAGCCCAAAAGUGCACACUGUUUACCAUAUUAAAACCGUGACACACACAAUACAAUACCAACACUUUAGGCCUAUAUCUUGAACUGUACGGCGGGUAUGAAAUUAAUAGCUCACUUUAAAUGAGCAAACGUUACUGUAUAGGCAUGAAAAUAUGAAAUGAUCAUACAUAGCCUAAUAUCAUGGCGGGUAUGAAUACAGAAGCUCACUUUGAAUCAAACACAUAUAGGCCUACCAGGGUAGACAUUAAAACAUUAGGCUACAUCUUAUGAAUAGUAAAUAUUCAGGUGUAACCUUUCUUGUGUGUUUCACGUUUUAAAGCACACGGCCUAGACGCCUAGGAUUGGUGUUGAAGAUGGAGAUUAUUGCAUCAUAGUCACUGAAUUCCCUUUCAAAGAAC
rnacentral:lncRNA from 1 species